UACGUAGGGGGCUAGCGUUGUUCGGAAUCACUGGGCGUAAAGGGCGCGUAGGCGGCUUUAUAAGUCGGGGGGUGAAAGCCUGUGGCUCAACCACAGAAUUGCCUUCGAUACUGUAGAGCUUGAGACCGGAAGAGGUAAGUGGAACUGCGAGUGUAGAGGUGAAAUUCGUAGAUAUUCGCAAGAACACCCAGUGGCGAAGGCGGCUCACUGGCUCGAUACUGACGCUGGAGGUGCGAAAGCCGUGGGGAGCAAACAGG
rnacentral:rRNA from 1 species